rnacentral:rRNA from 1 species
AUUGAACGCUGGCGGCAUGCCUUACACAUGCAAGUCGAACGGCAGCACGGGAGCAAGCCUGGUGGCGAGUGGCGAACGGGUGAGUAAUACAUCGGAACGUGCCCAGUAGUGGGGGAUAACCCGGCGAAAGCCGGACUAAUACCGCGUACGACCUACGGGUGAAAGCAGGGGAUCGCAAGACCUUGCGCUAUUGGAGCGGCCGAUGUCAGAUUAGCUAGUUGGUGGGGUAAAAGCCCACCAAGGCGACGAUCUGUAGCUGGUCUGAGAGGACGACCAGCCACACUGGGACUGAGACACGGCCCAGACUCCUACGGGAGGGCAGCAGUGGGGAAUUUUGGACAAUGGGCGCAAGCCUGAU